GACAGAAAGACCCUAUGAAGCUUUACUGUAGUUUGGAAUUGAGUUUGGGUUUAAUUUGUGCAGAAUAAGUGGGAGGCUAAGACUAUACACUUAAGGGUGUAUAUGAGCCAUCAGUGAGAUACCACUCUUGUUCAACUAGAAUUCUAAUUUUGAUGCCGUUAGCCGGCCAAAAAACAGUUUCAGAUAGGCAGUUUGACUGGGGCGGUCGCCUCCUAAAAAGUAACGGAGGCGUGCAAAGGUUCUCUCAGGCUGGUCGGAAAUCAGUCGUAGAGUAUAAAGGUAUAAGAGAGCUUGACUGCAAGACCUACAAGUCAAGCAGAGACGAAAGUCGGCCUUAGUGAUCCGACAGUGCUGAGUGGAAAGGCUGUCGCUCAACGGAUAAAAGUUACUCUAGGGAUAACAGGCUGA
rnacentral:rRNA from 1 species